AUACGGAGGAUCCAAGCGUUAUCCGGAUUUAUUGGGUUUAAAGGGUGCGCAGGCGGCCUUAUAAGUCAGUGGUGAAAUCUCCCGGCUCAACCGGGAAACUGCCAUUGAUACUGUAAGGCUAGAAUACAGACGAGGUAGGCGGAAUGUAGCAUGUAGCGGUGAAAUGCUUAGAUAUGCUACAGAACACCGAUCGCGAAGGCAGCUUACCAGACUGUAAUUGACGCUAAGGCACGAAAGCGUGGGGAGCGAACAGGAUUAGAAACCCCGGUAGUCC
rnacentral:rRNA from 1 species